ACUCCUACGGGAGGCAGCAGUGGGGAAUAUUGGACAAUGGGGGAAACCCUGAUCCACGCCAUGCCGCGUGCUGUGAAGAAGGCCAAUUCGGGGCUUUGGUUAAAGACACUUUUCAGUGGGGAGGAAAGGUUGAUGGUUAAUACCUAUCAGCUGUGACGUUACCCACAGAAGAAGCACCGGCUAACUCCGUGCCAGCAGCCGCGGUAAUACGGAGGGUGCAAGCGUUAAUCGGAAUUACUGGGCGUAAAGCGUGCGCAGGCGGUCUGUUAAGCGAGAUGUGAAAGCCCCGGGCUCAACCUGGGAACUGCAUUUCGAACUGGCAGACUAGAGUCUUGUAGAGGGGGUAGAAUCCAGGUGUAGCGGUGAAAUGCGUAGAGAUCUGGAGGAAUACCGGUGGCGAAGGCGGCCCCCCUGGAC
rnacentral:rRNA from 1 species